CAGCAGCCGCGGGAAUACGUAGGUGGCAAGCGUUGUCCGGAAUUAUUGGGCGUAAAGGGCUCGCAGGCGGUUUCUUAAGUCUGAUGUGAAAGCCCCCGGCUCAACCGGGGAGGGUCAUUGGAAACUGGGAAACUUGAGUGCAGAGGAGGAGAGUGGAAUUCCACGUGUAGCGGUGAAAUGCGUAGAGAUGUGGAGGAACACCAGUGGCGAAGGCGACUCUCUGGUCUGUAACUGACGCUGAGGAGCGAAAGCGUGGGGAGCGAACAGGAUUAGAUACCCGCGUAGUCCCUGUCUCUUAUAC
rnacentral:rRNA from 1 species